AAAAAGAACAAUCCAGCAAUUUGUCCAACAGAACAAACAUAACAAGAUAAUUGUUGCCACUAAGACACAGUACCAAGAUAGCCAUAGGCUAAUACUUAUUUCCAACUAACAACCACAAAGUACUCCAACGAUAACAAAUCCUUCGCCAUCAUCUUUAAGCAAAAUACUCUCAGAACUUCACACAAGGCAGAUAUGGAACUGCCAAGAUAUCUAACCUUAAUUGUGUAUUGUAGAAAAUUGCUCACAAGUAGCAGAACUCUUUUUGUCGAGAUCAUUUAUAAACCAUGGUAGAUUUACUGUUGCUUCUGCUCUAAACAGAUAUCCACCAAAGCCUGAUCCCUCAGCCGUACAAUUAUCAAUCCAACCAAGACAAGGUUUCUUAAUCCAAAAGCUCCCAAAUUCCUGCACCUACUAACCUCGGUCUCUACUCAACCAGUUUGAAUAGCUCGGCACAAGCUGCUCAAUAGCGAGUGCCAGCAACUAUCCAAGACCAUCCAUGCUGCAACAAAAACAUAAUAACCUUGGCCAUACUGCAAUAUGAUGAUUGAACUUCGUAGCAACAGGCUAGCCGUCAUUCUCCCCAGUAAUUGUUAACCAUCUAGUCUCACUAUCCACGUCACACAAAGAAACGAUCUUGCCACAGGGACUGUCCUUGAUACUGCUGAGGCAAUCCAACAGAUUGGUUAUUUGCUUUCUGGAUAUCUGACUGCAUGUGCAGAGAGGGCACCUGCUUCCCAGGGAAAGGAAAGCUAAUCCCGACUAAGCUACUAUUGCUUACAGAGUGAUAUGGUUGAGCUGAAUGAUUGUCCGAGUUAUUGUAAACAAUGCUCUGAUGUGCUGAAGGUAACUGAUAUCCAUUCAACCAGCUAUAAUCAUCCAUACGAGGGAUGGGGUUAUUUUCAUUUUUAAGUGUCGACGCAAAUGAAGAGUCAUCUACUUUGGAAGAAACAGAACCAAACCCUGGAGGUGGACCCAGAUGCCUACCAGGUCGGCACACUGGAUUUUUCUUCAUUCCUGUUUGAGUAAUUGCUAAAGAUUUCAUUGACAUGCUAUCGGAGAAAGCUACGGAGGGUGCAAGUGAACUGAAGGUAGAUGACAUAGCAGCCUCAGGAACCUGGAAGUGAAUAUUAUUUGCAGUGCUGAACUUCACAGACUGUGGCAAAGGAGCUGAAUGUGCUGCUGCAGGUGACACCAUUUCUGGAUGAUUUAGCAACUCAGCUUCUGUCAUUAGCCCAUUUCCUGUCAAGCUCAAGCCACCCAAUCCAUUCAUAAAAGCACCUUGCUCUACAGACCACAUUGAAGUACUUGGUUGGAUUGCCUGCAUAUAUUGGGUAUUAGUAAGAGAAAUGCUUGUUGGCAGCCUUGUAGUACUCCAACCAUUCUGCAACCUCAAUCCAUCGAGUGCAGAUGGAAAUGGCCCCAUCUCACAACACGAAUCAACACACUCCAUGCUAGCACCAGAAGAAGCAUUGACAACACUAAUACCAGCUACAGGAACCGCUGAGGUCAUAGCACUUGAAGAGAUGUCAUUAGAUUUUUCUAUCACUGAUGGCUUAAAAACAAUAACUUCGUCUUCUUCUUCACAUUCCACAUACAAUUGCUGCUUCGGCAGAAGAUCUCCCACAGUCAACUGUCCAGCAUCUGGACUUUCCAGUUCAAUACCACUUAAUUUGGUACCAUUUAAGCCAUUAAGUAGAUAAUUAUCAGAAGUUUGGGGCUCCAUACCAAUGACAAAUUUCUUUCCCCUUGUGUCAA
rnacentral:misc_RNA from 1 species